AGAGUUUCGAUCCUGGCUCAGGAUGAACGCUGGCGGCGUGCUUAACACAUGCAAGUCGAACGGGGAUUACACGGAGAUGCGAUUUCGGUCAAAUCAAGUGCAAUCUUAGUGGCGGACGGGUGAGUAACGCGUGGGUAACCUGCCUUGCACUGGGGGAUAACACUUAGAAAUAGGUGCUAAUACCGCAUAAGCGCACGGUCCUGCAUGGGACAGUGUGAAAAACUCCGGUGGUGCAAGAUGGAUCCGCGUCUGAUUAGCUGGUUGGCGGGGUAAAGGCCCACCAAGGCGACGAUCAGUAGCCGGCCUGAGAGGGUGGACGGCCACAUUGGGACUGAGACACGGCCCAAACUCCUACGGGAGGCAGCAGUGGGGGAUAUUGGACAAUGGGGGGAACCCUGAUCCAGCGACGCCGCGUGGGUGAAGAAGUAUUUCGGUAUGUAAAGCUCUGUCAGCAGGGAAGAAAGCAAUGACGGUACCUGACCAAGAAGCCCCGGCUAACUACGUG
rnacentral:rRNA from 1 species